GGCUUGUUGAAUAUAAUUUCAAGUUUGACCUGCCCGGUGAGGGCUUUAACGGCCGCGGUAUAUUGACCGUGCAAAGGUAGCAUAAUCAGUAGUUUUUUAAUUGAAAGCUUGUAUGAAAGGUUUGAUGAAAAAAAGGCUGUCUCUGUAAAAGUUUAUUAGAAUUUUAUUUUUAAGUUAAAAAGCUUAAAUUAUGAUAGAAGACGAGAAGACCCUAUAGAGUUUAAUAUUUUCAUGUAAGAUAAAGUUUUAGGGUGUUAAAAUUUUAGUUUAUGAUGAGAGUAUUUUGUUGGGGUGAUUGAAAAACUAGAAUAACUUUUUUUUACGAAUACAUUUAUUUAUGAGUAUAUGAUCUUAAAAUUUAGAAUAAAAGAUUAAACUACCUUAGGGAUAACAGCGUAAUUUUUUUUAGAGUUCUUAUCGAAGAAAAAGAUUGCGACCUCGAUGUUGGAUUAAAAUAAAAGACUGGUGAAGAAGCUAGUAGGUUUAGGUCUGUUCGACCUUUAAAAUUUUACAUGAUCUGAGUUUAAACCGGUGUGAGCCAGGUCGGU
rnacentral:rRNA from 1 species